ACGAAGGGUGCAAGCGUUACUCGGAAUUACUGGGCGUAAAGCGUGCGUAGGUGGUUGAUUAAGUCUGUCGUGAAAGCCCUGGGCUCAACCUGGGAAUUGCGAUGGAUACUGGUCGACUAGAGUGUGGUAGAGGGUGGCGGAAUUCCCGGUGUAGCAGUGAAAUGCGUAGAGAUGCGGAGGAACACCGAUGGCGAAGGCAGCCCCCUGGGCUAACACUGACGCUCAGGCACGAAAGCGUGGGGAGCAAACAGGA
rnacentral:rRNA from 1 species